AAAGAAUAUACAGCAACAAACAGUCAUCCAAUCAUGACAAUCACAUACCGGGGAGCUUUUUGAGUUGUCAUGAGUCACAGUUUG